CUAAAGGCGCUUUUCAGCGCCAACAGCAAACAACCCAAAGAGGAAG
rfam:Bacteria symbiont BFo2 of Frankliniella occidentalis strain BFo2 contig07, whole genome shotgun sequence.